rnacentral:lncRNA from 1 species
CACCAUUAUCAUCGGCAAAAAACUCCAAGUUCUGCCUUAAACUCUUAUAAAAAAACCCAUAUAUCAAACUAAACUUUUAACGCAAGGCUUACGCCAUCUAUGGAUGGGCCUCAAUAACUUUUUCUUUUUUUAUGAGUACGACGUUGCAUAUAGUUUCGUCUCUUUUUGAAUCUGAAUUACCUUAAACCCUCGCCUAAACCUCUGGUUCCUCAAAUCAAUUACAGAAAAAGGAAAAAAAUGUCAUUUUUACUAUUA